rnacentral:lncRNA from 1 species
GUGUUUUUGGAGAGAGAUGGAAGGAGAUGGACCAAACUCAUUGGCACUUCGGAGUUCUUAUCCUUGCUGGUGUUUUCAGCUCCAAUGGGGAUUUCACAGAAUCCCUGUGGGAUGCAGAAACUGGCAGAGAACUUUUCCGUGCAACAAUGUCUCUUGAAAACGUUCACAUCAUUUCCUGGAUUAACUGCUUCAAUAACCCGAGACAAAAGACCAGCUCGAUGGCGGAGAGACAAGCUAGCUGCAAUCAGGUCAGUGUGGGACAAGUGGAUGGACCACCUUCCCCUGUUUUACAACCCUGUGCCCAACGUUACUGUUGAUGACCAGGUUACGCCAUUUAGGGGCCGCUGCCCAUUCAGGCAGUACAUACCGUCUGAAUCUGAAAAAUAUGGAAUCAAGAUCUGGCCUGCCUGUGAUGCUGCUUCAUCAUAUGUGUGGAACUUGCAAGUUUAUAUGGAAAUACAGAUGGAGAAGCACCUGAGAAGAACCAAGGGAUGCGGGUUGUCCUGGACAUGACACAGGGACUCCGUGGCCAUAACAUCACAUGCGAUUACAUUUUUACUUUGCACAAGCCGGGACAGGAGCUCUUUAAGAGGAAGCUGACGAUGGUAGGAACAGAACGAAGAAAAAAACAAGCCAGAGCUCCCACUUCAGCAGUUGAAUACACGGAACAGAUCUAUCAAUUCCUAUAAGUUUGUCCCUAGUGUCCUAUGUGCCAAUGAAUAGCAAAAAAUGUGGUACUCAUUAGUACGCUGCAUAGGGAUGGGAGAAUCUGUGGCUAGGAACAUCAAAAACCAGAAAUCAUAAUGGAUUAGAAUGCAACAAAAGGAGGGAUGACUGGCUACAGCUGCAAAAGAAGAACCCUACGCUGGCCACUUGUGAUAUUCUUCAACAUCUUGGACAUCUCCGCUUACAACGCCUUUGUCAUCUGGAUGGCGUUGAACCCAGAUUGGAACAGAGGGAAGCUCCAGAGGAGACAACUUUUUCUCGUUGAGCUGGGCAAGGCAUUGGUAAGACCUCAAAUCCAGAAGAGGGAAUAUAUCCCAAGGACCCCAGCUUCGGCAGCCAUCGUGAGGAGGAUUCAGGAGGAGGAUGCUGGUUCCCCGUCCGCCCCGACCCACAGAACCAUCAACUCCAAUACAGGAAGUAAGUAUUUGCAGCCAGUAGCAACAAGAAGAAGCGCUGUGACGUGUGUGGACCCAAGAAGGACAGGAAAACACAGUACACAUGCUCCAAGUGCAAGAAAAACAUUUGAAACACACACACACACAGUAAAACUCUGUCCCUCAUGUUGUGUGUAGACCGGGCAUUAAAUUGUGUUCAAUGGGGCUCAUUUAUCAUUUCCAAAAAAUUC